rnacentral:rRNA from 1 species
UACGGAGGGUGCAAGCGUUAUCCGGAUUCACUGGGUUUAAAGGGUGCGUAGGAGGGCAGGUAAGUCAGUGGUGAAAUCUUUGGGCUUAACCCGAAAACUGCCAUUGAUACUAUCUGUCUUGAAUAUUGUGGAGGUUUGCGGAAUAUGUCAUGUAGCGGUGAAAUGCUUAGAUAUGACAUAGAACACCUAUUGCGAAGGCAGCAAACUACGCAUAUAUUGACGCUGAGGCACGAAAGCGUGGGGAUCAAACAGG